UUACGGCCAUAUCCCGUUGAAACACCAGUACUCGUAAGAUCACCGAUGUUAAGCAACGUUGUGCAUGGUCAGUAUCUAGAUGGGUAACCGUAUCGGAAUACCGAGUGAUGUAA